AGGCUUAAGCAAAGUGAUAAUAAGAUGUUUAAAAAGGGUGCUACUGUUUUGAUGAAGCAAUCAAGUAAGUUCAGUAAAGAAGACGGAAGUCUAUAAGACUUAUAGUGGCUGCCCACUAGUGUGGGCUAGGUCAGAGUUGACCAUUCAGAUAUGUUUGCCAUGUUUUCGUCUUUCUCCUCCAUAUGUGUAAUAAGUAUGGUAGCUAUGGAAACGAUGAAAUGAGUGUUAUGAUGAGCCUAGCUGCGAUGAUGGCUAGCCGGAGGAGAACCCAUGAGAUUCUAUAUGAUAUAUGUAACAAGCCCUGCAGGCAUUGGCUGAAUCAAACAGUGUGCACAAGUGAAAUCAGGCCCAUAAAAAUGUGAAACUAAAAGAAAGAGCAUAAAAGUAAAGUUUGAAAGUGCAUGAGCAAUAAAUGAAAUGCAUAAGUAUAUAAGUCAGCAUAUUAGUAUAUGUGCACUACAAACUCACGACAUUCAUGUGUAUGUGUAUGCAUGAGAUUUGCUUACUGAGCGUUAGCUCAUUAUGUUAUUUUCCAAUAUUUUUCCAGGUGUGGCUUUAGCUGUUGAGCAACUUGUGGAGCACGGACUCAGUAGCAAUGCAAUAAUGGUUUAGAGUUUUCAUAUGGCUGCCUUAAAUUUAAAGUAUUCAUACGUGUAAUAAUUUCUACUAAUAAGUUUAUAUAAAAGGUUUAAAUUUUUCUGUAUUUCUUCAUAUCAUUUUAUUUAAUUCUUUUGGUCAAGUGCCUAACAUACUCGUAAACUCUAGAAUUACGAGUAUGUGGUGAACGUACCCUAUCUUAGGGACGUUACAGUUAUUAUUAAUUAAAUUGAUCGAUUGUUUAAUUUAGUGCUCUAACACCACUAACAGAUUCAAGUUCACAUAUUAAAUUGAUCUAUUGUUUUUGCAAAGUAUCAUUUUGGUACCAUCUGUUUUCAAUAAUGCUCAUAUGGUACCCCGUAUUUUGAAAACAUAGAUAUUUAGUAUCCUAAUUGAUAAAAUUUUGUCAAUAUGACCAAACUGUCAGUAGUUAUAUAAAAUUUAUAGCUCGUAUGAUUGAUAGUAUUUUGAUUAAAUUGAUAAAAUUUUAUUAAUUAAAUUUGAGUUUAGGGUACCAAAUAUGUACGUGUAGGUUUUAUUACUUUAAUGUCCCUACACCAACUCACACAGAACUUAAACACAAACAGGCUAUAUUUGUAAUUUGUUGACACAAAUACUUGGACCACAUUCAUACACGUAUCAGUCAAACAGUACCAAAAAAAAAACAGAGUUAGAUUUAUACAUUUGUCUUUCUUGGUUUAUCAGAAUUUAUUCAACAUCUCAGUAAACACAAAACACAAAGAGAAAAUUAGGGCUUUUGACAGAAAAAAAUCAGAGAGAGAUAAUGGGAGAGAAAACACCAGGUUUAUCGAGGUUCACCCCCAAAACAGGCGCUACGUCCUCGUUGAACUCGCCUCAGAGAGAAGCUCUUCCUUGCACUAUUUGAAGCAGAUUUACAACAUCAAUGGAGGUUUCCAAGCCACAGAGAAUCGACUGAGAGAACUUGACCACCACAGCUUGAAGACUUCUGAUUUUCUCUUGGCUAUCAAAAAAUGUAAUUCCUUUUUGGUAAAGCUCUCCUCUUAUUUAUAAGAGUCGUAAUCUGAGUAGUAGUCAAGAUUUAGGAAGCUGUUAGAAAGAAGUUGUAACUGUAUCUUGUUAUUUGUUGCUGAGAGUAUAGUCUUGUAACUGAUUAAAUAAUUUUCUUGUAAGCUUAUAAGUGUAUUCAUAUAACAGUACGAUUUUAAAA